GAGGGGGGUCCAGGAAUGAGGAAGGCCUUUGUGAGAGAAACCGAGUUGUGGAAGAGUCUCGGCCCUGCUUUUGAACUCUGCUGCUUCCACAAAGAAGCCAAACUCCAGGGAAAGAACUGCCCCAAAGCCAUCGCUUCCCACACUCCAUUACCUAUGACUGGGACCUUCCCAGGCUGCCCCCACAUACCCCAUUAAAUAAGAGCCCCUUAGCACUGGAUCAACCCUGGAUGUGCACCUAAACUGCUCUUUGAGGCAAGGCAAAAUGCCGGGAAGGAAACUGAAUUUAAACAGGUAGCCUAGAAAAAAUUGGCAAACACAGACAUACGAGGAACUCACAACUGUUGUCAUCCCUAUACCCUAUGUGAAAGAAACGAUGAUGCAUCACUUUAAAUGGAUUAUACAGGCAAAACCAGCCACCUUCAGAUAUGACAAAGUAUUUACAAGUAUGCUUGGAUUGCAUAGAUGUGCAGUAAUUUAAUUUCGUCAUGAACAAUUAUUCACAGAGGGGGCCAUGGGAAUGUAUUCCCUGAGCUAGCCACCUCCAGACCCAGCAUGGCACAUCGGGAAGUCUGAGUAAAGAAAGGCCUCUUCUGUCACCAUUACUCCCCAGUUCCCUCCAAUACCAAGAACUCCACCGUACUCAGGAUUCUGUGGAUCAGAUCCUUCCAGAACACUGGGCUCAGACACUGCUGACUAAUAUUACUUGGUUGCUUGGUAACCAACAGCUGAAUUCUGCUGCACUGAUCCUGGGUAUGGAAACCAGGAAAUCACAACAAUGUUGUGCUGUCAGCACUAGAACCACAAGGGAAGUGGAACUGGGAUUCUGGAAAAGGAGGUGCCCUUUUUUGUUUUUAGCAAGGCUACAAAAAGUGGCUAUGGGGAAAUCGGUGUCUUUCCGGGGUUUUAAUCGUGACAGUUUGAAAGCCCCUAUUAAAUUCAAGCAUAAGGCUGAGUCAUACCUGAGUAUUAGACUUGGGAGGCAAACGCAUUUAGAAGAGGAGGGGGAGAGGAGGAGGAAAAGGGGGAGGAAGAAGAGGAGAAGGAGGAGGAGGAGGAGGAACAUACUAUCAGAACACUCCUUUGAAAUUAAUGGGAAGAACAUAGCUUGUGUGGGCAGAGAGUGAGGUCACCUCUUCGGAAUAAAAGUUGUACAUAAGAAGGAAUUAGAAAUGACACAAAGUAUUCAGCUAACUCAGAACUCAAAUCUUAUAUUCUAGUUGGAAUCUUAAACGGCAGAUGACACAUUAGGAAAACAUUAUGUCAGCAGGGAAAUGCUCUUAUUAGCACCGAGAUUUAAUGGUUUUCCCCACCUCAUGGUAACCUGUUAAAGAUCGUCUGUAAGAACCUGAUCGCUUCAGUCUUUCAUACAGAGUGUACUGAAUUUUAGUUUCCCCCAAAUCAGCACCGCGCACGGGCUGAUGCCCUUGUGUGUGAAUACGUGUUGAUUUUUACCUUGCCGUCUGGAACAGAGUCAUCAAAUAUUCCCUCUAAAGAUCUCUUUACAGCAUCGGUCCCCUCUCCAAACACCUGCAUAGACAAAAGCAUCAUCUUAAAAAAGGGAAAUCUGGUCAACAGGACAAAGGAAGCACGGAACUCUGAAUGAUGGGAGAGGCUUUCGGAAACCACAGCAGGGCUCAGGCGCUCCUGGAUCCCAGAGAAGUUGUUGGCUGCAAUUCUCAGAGUUAACCGUAAGGGAAUCCUGUGAUCCAGUCAGCUUUGCUCAAGGGCAUCAUCACAUGUGGAUUACACUGGUGAUCUGGUGAAAGCCUCACAAAUGUUGAGCUCUGGGCUGUGCACACCACGGUAGUCCAUGAAAUGAAGACUCAAUCCAAAGAGACCCAAGUCCCUCGUCCAAGUAGUUGGAGGGCAUUCACUUCCCGAUGUCAAUGGGGACAGAGGACAGUCAUGGGGAGCGACAGCAGCUGGAGAGAGGCCUCAACUAGAAGAGUGAAGAGAAAGGCCACUGGUCCCUGUUACACAGGGCUCCACCAAGCAUCAGCCCAGACCAAGUUGCCUUUGAUCCAGCAUCAGAGAUGGCUUAUGAAGAUUAUAUUUAAUGUUUACUUGGCUUCCUAUGGAACCUGCUCUGUUCUGAGGACUUACGGGAAUUCUGCACUUUCUUUGGUAGGUCUGUAAUUAACCAGAGUUUGGGUAGGGGGCAGGUGGGAGAUGGAUGUCGAUGACAGACUAAUGGCACAGCUCCAUGUUUGGGCUAUAAACUACUUAUUAAAAACUGGCAGAACUAAAGUGUCAAGUUGAUUUAAAAUGUCAGUAAAGAGACACACACACACAAGGACACUCACAGAUACACACGUGCACGCACCCACACACACGUGCACACUCACACAAGGACACUCACAGAUAUACACACACACAAAGACACAUACAUGCACACUCACACACACACACACACAAGGACACUCACAGAUACACAUGCACACUCACACACAGACACACACACAGGGGCACUCACAGACACGCACAUGCAUGCAGGCACACAUGACCAACACAGAAGCAACAUUAGUGGGUGGAUCCUUUGUGCGGACUCUGGGACCUACCUGGU